AGUUGAUAGUAUAGAAAUAAACUUUCUAUAUCAAUCAAAGUGACCAUCUAGCAAUGAUACCCGACAUCCGGAUAGGUCGAAAGAUUGUAAAGUAACAUUGAAGAACCUAUUGACAUAUGGUUACCGUAUAAUUCAUCUCUUUGAUCCUAAUGCUCAAAGUGACUAAAGAGUUUAACUGUCAAUCCUGAAAAGAUCAUCCACAUUGUGUUUCAAC
rnacentral:lncRNA from 1 species